CGCGUAGGUAAUCUAUCCUUACAUUUGGGAUAACAUUGGGAAACUGGUGCUAAUACCGAAUGGUCUUCAUUGCUUUGGGGCGAUGGAGUAAAGGUGGCCUCUUCAUGAAAGCUACCGUGUAGGGAUGAGCCUGCGUACCUUUAGCUAGUGGAUGGGGUAAUGGCCCACCUAGGCUACGAUGGUUAGCGGGUCUGAGAGGAUGAUCCGCCACACUGGAACUGAAACACGGACCAG
rnacentral:rRNA from 1 species